rnacentral:tRNA from 1 species
AUUUAAAUAGUUUAAAUUUAAAAUAUUAAUUUGUGGGAUUAAAGAUAUAUUUAUUUAUUUUAAAUA